GUUGGUCUUUACUGACGCUGAGGCACGAAAGCGUGGGGAGCAAACAGGAUUAGAUACCCUGGUAGUCCACGCCGUAAACGAUGAGUACUAAGUGUCGGGGGUUUCCUCGGUACUGAAGUUAACACAUUAAGUACUCCGCCUGAGUAGUACGUACGCAAGUAUGAAACUUAAAGGAAUUGACGGGAUCCCGCACAAGCGGUGGAUCAUGUUGUUUAAUUCGAAGAUACACGAAAAACCUUACCAGGUCUUGACAUUAUUCUGCGAAGCUAUAGAAAUAUAGUGGAGGUUAUCAGAAUAACAGGUGGUGCAUGGUUGUCGUCAGCUCGUGUCGUGAGAUGUUAGGUUAAGUCCUAAAACGAGCGCAACCCUUGUCGUUAGUUACCAGCACGUUAUGGUGGGGACUUUAGCGAGACUGCCAAUGAAAAAAUUGGAGGAAGGUGAGGAUUACGUCAAAUCAUCAUGCCCCUUAUGAUCUGG
rnacentral:rRNA from 1 species